rnacentral:misc_RNA from 1 species
UUUCCGUAGGUGAACCUGCGGAAGGAUCAUUAAUGUAACCGGACCUUACCGGUGCCGUAAGACGCAUCGGUUUGGAAAGGGAGAUAUCAUACCCCCUGUGUUUAUUUACCUUUGUUGCUUCGGCGGGCCGUCCUUUCAGGCGCCUGCCCCGGCUGAUCGCGGCCGCCAGAGGACCCAAAUUCUUUUAUCAGUGACUGAUUAGUAUUAAAUAAUAGUUAAAACUCUCAACAACGGAUCUCUUGGUUCUG